rnacentral:rRNA from 1 species
AGUGAACGCUGGCGGUAGGCCUAACACAUGCAAGUCGAACGGCAGCACAGUAAGAGCUUGCUCUUACGGGUGGCGAGUGGCGGACGGGUGAGGAAUACAUCGGAAUCUACUUUUUCGUGGGGGAUAACGUAGGGAAACUUACGCUAAUACCGCAUACGACCUACGGGUGAAAGCAGGGGAUCUUCGGACCUUGCGCGAUUGAAUGAGCCGAUGUCGGAUUAGCUAGUUGGCGGGGUAAAGGCCCACCAAGGCGACGAUCCGUAGCUGGUCUGAGAGGAUGAUCAGCCACACUGAAACUGAGACACGGUCCAGACUCCUACGGGAGGCAGCAGUGGGGAAUAUUGGACAAUGGGCGCAAGCCUGAUCCAGCCAUACCGCGUGGGUGAAGAAGGCCUUCGGAUUGUAAAGCCCUUUUGUUGGGAAAGAAAAGCAGCAGGUUAAUACCCCGCUGUUCUGACGGUACCCAAAGAAUAAGCACCGGCUAACUUCGUG